ACCUUCGUGGUGUAAUGGUUAGCGCGCUCGGGGCGUAUUCGAGAGGUCCGUGGUUCGAUUCCCGGCGAGGGCA
rnacentral:tRNA from 1 species